AGCAUGUGGUUUAAUUCGAUGAUACGCGAGGAACCUUACCUGGGCUCAAAUGUAUGUUGACGUAUUCUGAAAGGGAUACUUCUUCGGACAAUAUACAAGGUGCUGCAUGGUUGUCGUCAGCUCGUGCCGUGAGGUGUUGGGUUAAGUCCCGCAACGAGCGCAGCCCCUAUUGCCAGUUGCUACCAGGUAAUGCUGGGCACUCUGGUGAGACUGCCCCGGUUAACGGGGAGGAAGGUGGGGACGACGUCAAGUCAUCAUGGCCCUUACGCCUAGGGCUACACACGUACUACAAUGGCGCAUACAAAGGGCAGCGAUACCGCGAGGUGGAGCCAAUCCCAAAAAGUGCGUCCCAGUCCGGAUUGCAGUCUGCAACUCGACUGCAUGAAGUUGGAAUCGCUAGUAAUUCGAGAUCAGCAUGCUCGGGUGAAUGCGUUCCCGGGCCUU
rnacentral:rRNA from 1 species